rnacentral:rRNA from 1 species
GAUGAACGCUGGCGGCGUGCUUAACACAUGCAAGUCGAACGCUGAAGCCCAGCUUGCUGGGUGACUUAGUGGCGAACGGGUGAGUAACACGUGAGUAACCUGCCCUUGACUCUGGGAUAAGCCUGGGAAACUGGGUCUAAUACUUGCUAUGACUUCUCAUCGCAUGGUGGGGGUUGGUUAGAUUUAUUGGUCUUGGUUGGUCGCGCGGCAUAUCAGCUUGUUUGUGAGGUAACGGCUCACCAAGGCGACGACGGGUAGCCAUCCUGAGAGGGUGACCGGGCACAAUGGGACUGAGACAGGACCCAGAGGGCAACGGGAGGCAGGAGUGGGAAAUAUUGCGAAAAAGGCGCAAGGCUGAUGCAACGACGCCGGGUGAGGGAUGACGGUCUUCAGGGUAGAAAGCUCGUGAAGGAGGGAAGAAGAGAGAGUGACGGUACCUGCAGAAGAAGCGCCGGCUAACUACGUG